CUUAAGCAUAUCAAUAAGCGGAGGAAAAGAAACUAACAAGGAUUCCCCUAGUAACUGCGAGUGAAGAGGGAAAAGCUCAAAUUUAAAAUCUGGCAGCUUUGGCUGUCCGAGUUGUAAUCUGGAGAAGUGUUUUCAGUGCAGGACCGUGUACAAGUCUCUUGGAAUGGAGCAUCAUAGAGGGUGAGAAUCCCGUCUUUGACACGGACUACCUGUGCUUUGUGAUACACUCUCAAAGAGUCGAGUUGUUUGGGAAUGCAGCUCAAAAUGGGUGGUAAAUUCCAUCUAAAGCUAAAUAUUGGCGAGAGACCGAUAGCGAACAAGUACCGUGAGGGAAAGAUGAAAAGCACUUUGGAAAGAGAGUUAAACAGUACGUGAAAUUGUUGAAAGGGAAACGCUUGGAGUCAGUCGCGUUUGUUAGAACUCAGCUUGGCUUCUGCUUAGUGUACUUUCUAAUGAACGGGCCAACAUCGAUUUCAGUCGGUGGAUAAGGGUAAGAGGAAUGUGGCACCUUCGGGUGUGUUAUAACCUCUUAUCAGUAUACAUUUACUGGGAUCGAGGUCUGCAGCACUUGUGCUUAGGAUGUUGGCAUAAUGGCUUUAAUCGACCCGUCUUGAAACACGGACCAAGGAGUCUAACAUGCCCGCGAGUGUUAGGGUGGUAAACCCUUGCGCGUAAUGAAAGUGAAAGUUGGGACCUCUGUCAUGGGGGGCACCGACGCCCGGUCCAGAACUUUUGUGACGGUACUGCGGUAGAGCGUGUAUGUUGGGACCCGAAAGAUGGUGAACUAUGCCUGAAUAGGGUGAAGCCAGAGGAAACUCUGGUGGAGGCUCGUAGCGAUUCUGACGUGCAAAUCGAUCGUCAAAUUUGGGUAUAGGGGCGAAAGACUAAUCAAACCAUCUAGUAACUGGUUCC
rnacentral:rRNA from 1 species